CCUGCCACCCAGCAGGGUUUCGAUAAUUUUUUUUCCCUUACACUAUCUGGGGGGGGGGGGGGGGACGGGGGAGGCGAUAAGUGGGUGACUUUAUGUUCUAGGCCUGUGGCCCCCGGGACGGGCUAAAAGGAAAGACUGGGGGAUCCUGCCUGCCUGAGUGCUGCCUGUUUGGGACUGAACUUUCCAGUGAUCAGAUGGAGCGAGUAGGUCCACUUCUGAAAGCUCUCAGGGUUAUUCAAAGGAUUAGGGGGGAAAUGGCGUCAAGGCCCAUUGCAGACUUGAUGAAACCAUCGGACAGUGGCAAAUGGUAUUGUUAGUAGACCGUGUGUCCCUGGUGGUUGUGGGCAAAGCGCUGGAAUUAGAUCCCGGAUUUGGACCCCAGCUUCCUGAUAUGCUGGCUGGGAGACUUUGGGCAAAUCUCAAGCCUGAAAAGGACCGCUGGUGCUGAGUUGCAAGCGGCCGGGUGCAAGGACAAGAGAGAGGCACGGAGGAACUAAGGGUGGCCCCCAGCUGGCAGCCAGCAGGGAAGCAGGGACCUCAGUCCUACAACAGGAAAGAACUGUAUUCUGCCCACACCGUGAAUGAGCUUGGAAGUAGUUCCUUCCUAGGGCCUCCUGUUUCACCAGGACAACCAGACCUACCUGAUGAGACUUCUUCGAUGCACUGGGCCAAUUUGGAAAAGAAUCAGAACGCCUUCUGUUGCGCUGAUCAAAGGAACACCAAGGAUUGCCAACAGUCACCAGAAGCCCGAUGGGACAAGGAAAGAUUCUCUCCUUGAGACUUCAGAGGGAGCAUGGCCCUGCCGACACCUUCGUUUCUGAUUUCUAUCCUCUUGAACUUUUCAGGUGUACAAAAUAGUGAUUCAACAAUUGUGUACAUUACUCAGGUGGCCAUCACGCUUUACCCCAGUAUGGAAACCGCAGCCCUUGAUCAGCUGAGUGCCGCUAGGAACCACCGCCAAGAGGCUGCAGGAAAGCCCAGGGCUUGGGGGAGUCUAGUCGCAGCUGGCGGUAAAGAAAUGUCUUCCAAGGGGCAAAGAAUAAUAUGGGGGUCACGUCAGCUGAUGAAACAGCUGGAUGCAGAAGUCUCUGCGGGACCUAGUGGUCUUCCCAGCCUGAUUCUUACCAAGUGUGAGACCAGCGGAUUGUGAAGUUUGCAUACUUUGCCUCCAUUUCUU